GAUGAACGCUGGCGGUGUGCCUAAUACAUGCAAGUCGAGCGAACAGACGAGGAGCUUACUCCUCUGACGUUAGCGGCGGACGGGUGAGUAACACGUGGAUAACCUAUCUAUAAGACUGGGAUAACUUCGGGAAACCGGAGCUAAUACCGGAUAACAUGUUGAACCGCAUGGUUCUACAGUGAAAGACGGUCUUGCUGUCACUUAUAGAUGGAUCCGCGUCGCAUUAGCUAGUUGGUAAGGUAACGGCUUACCAAGGCAACGAUGCGUAGCCGACCUGAGAGGGUGAUCAGCCACACUGGAACUGAGACACGGUCCAGACUCCUACGGGAGGCAGCAGUAGGGAAUCUUCCGCAAUGGGCGAAAGCCUGACGGAGCAACGCCGCGUGAGUGAAGAAGGUCUUCGGAUCGUAAAACUCUGUUACUAGGGAAGAACAAAUGUGUAAGUAACUAUGCACGUCUUGACGGUACCUAAUCAGAAAGCCACGGCUAACUACGUG
rnacentral:rRNA from 1 species